CGUAGGGUGCGAGCGUUGUCCGGAAUUAUUGGGCGUAAAGAGCUCGUAGGCGGUCUGUCGCGUCGGUCGUGAAAACUUGGGGCUUAACCCUGAGCUUGCGGUCGAUACGGGCAUGACUGGAGUUCGGCAGGGGAGACUGGAAUUCCUGGUGUAGCGGUGAAAUGCGCAGAUAUCAGGAGGAACACCGGUGGCGAAGGCGGGUCUCUGGGCCGAUACUGACGCUGAGGAGCGAAAGCGUGGGGAGCGAACAGGAUUAGAUACCCUGGUAGUCCACACCGUAAACGGUGGGCGCUAGGUGUGGGGGCCAUUCCACGGUCUCUGUGCCGUAGCUAACGCAUUAAGCGCCCCGCCUGGGGAGUACGGCCGCAAGGCUA
rnacentral:rRNA from 1 species